GGAGUUGUGGCUCAGUGGUAGAGCACUCGCCUGGCAUGUGUGAGGCCCUGGGUUUGAUCCUUAGCACCA
rnacentral:tRNA from 1 species